UGAAUUGCAGAAUCCCGUGAACCAUCGAGUCUUUGAACGCAAGUUGCGCCCGAGUCCUCUGGACGAGGGCACGUUUGCCUGGGUGUCACAC
rnacentral:rRNA from 1 species